rnacentral:rRNA from 1 species
UUAAAGGAAUUGACGGGGGCCCGCACAAGCGGUGGAGCAUGUGGUUUAAUUCGACGCUACGCGAAGAACCUUACCUGGGCUUGAACUGCUGGUGGUAGAAGCCCGAAAGGGUAACGACCCGGAGCAAUCCGGGAGCCAGUAGAGGUGCUGCAUGGCUGUCGUCAGCUCGUGUCGUGAGAUGUUGGGUUAAGUCCCGCAACGAGCGCAACCCUUACCCUUAGUUGCCAGCGGGUAAUGCCGGGCACUCUAAGGGGACCGCCCCGGAUAACGGGGAGGAAGGCGGGAUGACGUCAAGUCAGCAUGGCCUUUAUGUCCAGGGCUACACACGUGCUACAAUGGGCGAUACAGAGGGAAGCAAGGCCGCAAGGUAGAGCUAAUCCCUAAAGUCGUCCUCAGUUCGGAUUGCAGGCUGCAACUCGCCUGCAUGAAGUCGGAAUCGCUAGUAAUCGCGGAUCAGCUACGCCGCGGUGAAUACGUUCCCGGGCCUU